GUAUAUAUUAUAUAGGCACAACAUUCUAUUAACAUACAUUGGGGUAAAUGAAGCAACAUAGACCUGAAAGGCCUACAAAAAGUGCACAGGUGGAGAUAUAAAGAUGACAAGGCGUGCACUUGCUCCCUAGAGAACCAGCAACAACCCAUCAGGUUUAUUUCAAUAAUGAUCCUUCCGCAGGUUCACCUACGGAAA
rnacentral:misc_RNA from 1 species